CAGGUGGGCACUCCUGAGGCUGCAGAGCGGAAGAGACCACAAACACUGCCCACCCCUGCCCACAUCCCUGGCCCAAGAGGAAACUGUAUACGGCCUCUGGGUUCCCAUGGGGGAGGGCCCAGGAGCGGCAAGACCCCUGCAUCUGAGACACCUCCGGAACCUGAAAGGACAGACCGGAUAAACAGUUCUCUGCACCCAAAUCCCGUGGGAGGGAGAGCUAAACCUACAGAGAGGCAGACAUGCCUGGGAAACCAGAAAGACUGCACUCUGCACACAUCUCUGACAACAGAGGAAAACACCAAACGCCAUCUGGAACCCUGGUACAUGGAGGCUCCUGGAAAGAGCGGCGCAGAUCUUCCUGGUUGCUGCCGCAGAGGAGUGGACGUAGGCAGCACCCCGCGAGCAAACUUGAGCCUUGGGACCACAGGUAAGACCAACUUUUCUGCUGCAAGAGACCUGCCUGGUGAACACCAGACACAGGCCCACAGGAACAGCUGAAGACCUGUAGAUAGGAAAAACUACACGCCCGAAAGCAGAACACUCUGUUCCCAUAACUGGCUGAAAGAAAACAGGAAAA
rnacentral:lncRNA from 1 species